rnacentral:rRNA from 1 species
GUGAGGUAAUGGCUCACCAAGGCGACGACGGGUAGCCGGCCUGAGAGGGCGAUCGGCCACACUGGGACUGAGACACGGCCCAGACUCCUACGGGAGGCAGCAGUGGGGAAUAUUGCACAAUGGGCGAAAGCCUGAUGCAGCGACGCCGCGUGAGGGAUGAAGGCCUUCGGGUUGUAAACCUCUUUCAGCAGGGAAGAAGCGAAAGUGACGGUACCUGCAGAAGAAGCACCGGCUAACUACGUGCCAGCAGCCGCGGUAAUACGUAGGGUGCAAGCGUUGUCCGGAAUUAUUGGGCGUAAAGAGCUUGUAGGCGGUUUGUCGCGUCUGCUGUGAAAUUUCGGGGCUCAACCCCGAACUUGCAGUGGGUACGGGCAGACUAGAGUGUGGUAGGGGAGACUGGAAUUCCUGGUGUAGCGGUGAAAUGCGCAGAUAUCAGGAGGAACACCGAUGGCGAAGGCAGGUCUCUGGGCCACUACUGACGCUGAGAAGCGAAAGCAUGGGGAGCGAACAGGAUUAGAUACCCUGGUAGUCCAUGCCGUAAACGGUGGGAACUAGGUGUGGGCCUCAUUCCACGAGGUCCGUGCCGCAGCUAACGCAUUAAGU